rnacentral:rRNA from 1 species
GACAGAGGGGGCAAGCGUUGCUCGGAAUUACUGGGCGUAAAGGGCGCGUAGGCGGGAUGGCAAGUCGGUCGUGAAAACCUGCAGCUUAACUGUGGGCUUGCGGUCGAUACGGGCAUCACUGGAGUUCGGCAGGGGAGACUGGAAUUCCUGGUGUAGCGGUGAAAUGCGCAGAUAUCAGGAGGAAUACCGAUGGCGAAGGCAGGUCUCUGGGCUGACACUGACGCUCAUGCACGAAAGCGUGGGGAGCAAACAGG